CGCUCUAGCCGCCCCACUCGUUGCUCUGCGGGGAGGCGGGCGCGCCCGCCCGGGUUCCUCCAAGAUGGCGGCGCAGAGGAGGAGCCUGCUGCAGAGUGAGCAGCAGCCAAGCUGGACAGACGACCUUCCGCUCUGCCACCUCUCUGGGGUUGGCUCAGCCUCCAACCGCAGCUACUCUGCUGAUGGCAAGGGUACCGAGAGCCACCCGCCAGAGGACAGCUGGCUCAAGUUCAGAAGUGAGAACAACUGCUUCCUGUAUGGGGUCUUCAACGGCUACGAUGGCAACCGAGUGACCAACUUCGUGGCCCAGCGGCUGUCCGCGGAGCUCCUCCUGGGCCAGCUGAAUGCUGAGCAUGCUGAGGCCGACGUGCGGCGUGUGCUGCUGCAGGCCUUCGAUGUGGUAGAGAGGAGCUUCCUGGAGUCCAUUGACGAUGCCUUGGCUGAGAAGGCAAGCCUCCAGUCGCAACUGCCAGAGGGCGUCCCUCAGCACCAACUGCCUCCUCAGUAUCAGAAGAUCCUGGAGAGACUCAAGACGUUGGAGAGGGAAAUUUCGGGAGGGGCCAUGGCUGUUGUGGCGGUCCUUCUCAACAACAAGCUCUACGUCGCCAAUGUCGGUACAAACCGUGCACUUUUAUGCAAAUCGACGGUGGAUGGGUUGCAGGUGACACAGCUGAAUGUGGACCACACCACGGAAAACGAGGAUGAGCUCUUCCGCCUUUCACAGCUGGGCUUGGACGCCGGGAAGAUCAAGCAGGUGGGGAUCAUCUGUGGGCAGGAAAGCACCCGGCGCAUCGGGGAUUACAAGGUCAAAUAUGGCUACACGGACAUUGACCUUCUCAGCGCUGCCAAGUCCAAACCAAUCAUCGCAGAGCCUGAAAUUCAUGGGGCACAGCCACUGGAUGGGGUGACUGGCUUCCUGGUGCUGAUGUCGGAGGGGCUGUACAAGGCCCUGGAGGCAGCCCAUGGGCCUGGGCAGGCCAACCAGGAGAUUGCCGCAAUGAUUGACACUGAGUUCGCCAAGCAGACCUCGCUCGACGCGGUAGCCCAGGCAGUGGUGGACCGGGUGAAGCGCAUCCACAGCGACACCUUCGCCAGCGGUGGGGAGCGUGCCAGGUUCUGCCCCCGGCAUGAGGACAUGACCCUGCUGGUGAGGAACUUUGGCUACCCGCUGGGCGAAAUGAGCCAGCCCACAACAAGCCCGGCCCCAGCUGCAGGGGGACGAGUGUACCCUGUGUCUGUGCCAUACUCCAGUGCCCAGAGCACCAGCAAGACCAGCGUGACCCUCUCUCUUGUCAUGCCCUCCCAGGGCCAGAUGGUCAACGGGGCGCACAGCGCUUCCACCCUGGAUGAAGCAACCCCCACCCUCACCAACCAAAGCCCCACCUUAACCCUGCAGUCCACCAACACGCACACGCAGAGCAGCAGCUCCAGCUCCGACGGGGGCCUCUUCCGCUCCCGGCCUGCCCACUCACUCCCGCCUGGCGAGGACGGCCGCGUUGAGCCCUAUGUGGACUUUGCUGAGUUUUACCGCCUCUGGAGUGUAGACCAUGCUUUCCCAGCCGAGCCACCGGGGGUCCUGAUGACGACCAUAGUCCCUGAACACCCCUGGAGCUGUGGUGUCAGCACUACCACCAGAGAGAGAGAAGCAUGGUUCACAAAUUGGGACUUCCAGAGGGAAGCCAGCCAGUCUGGAACCUGAAGUGCUGCUGCAGGUGCUUGAUGGCGGGUGGGGCUGGCAGCCCCCCAUCUUCCUUCCUGCCCCAAGACCACGUGACCUUUCCUGACCUGGUGCUUCUGGCCGCUCUCCCCUCGGAUUUUCCUCCAUAACCACUGGCCUCUAAGCUGGAGCAAAAGGACACUGCAAGGCCACUUGAGGCCUAGCCUGGACAUUUCCUGGUCCCUUCUACCUCAUCCUGGUGGCCACAGCAAGUCACAGGGCUGUCCAGAUUUCAGGGAGGGAGAAAUGGUGGACGCACGGCCGAGGGUGGGGAGGGAGGGAACCCUGCAGCCAUUUUUGGCGGAUACCUCCCACCCAAGGACCUCGAGCCUCAGAGCCGUCCUUAACUGCUGGCAGCCUCUGGUGGGGCCGGGCGGGAGAGCGUAUGGUGAUCAAUCUCCAGGCAUGCGGAAGAAGCCUGGGAGGCUCACAGCCCAGCUGGGUGGGGUGGGGGACCUAGAGGAGGAUACCCUGACUCUGGACAGGCCCCAGGGGAACCAAAUGCCCCAGAGCCUUUUCCUCCAGAGGCCCUGGCUCUGUCCCCGUCCCUGAGAGUGUUUUCCCAGGCCCCAGCAGGGAAUGAGAAUGAGCCAGCCUGUUCCUCCUAUAGGUGACAACACUCGGCCCUGCCUAGGCUUUCUGGAGGGUACCGCACAGCAGCCGCUCCCUGGCCCUGCCUCGGCCUCACAGGUUCUCACCAAAUGUCCCCAGACAAUGAUGUUCACUGGGUGGGGGAACCCAGGAGGAUCCCUCCCUUCCACCCCCUAGAGGCCUCCUGAACCUCACAGUGACCUCCCAGCACAGGUGCUGCCACUCAUUAGCUGCCUGAUCUUGGGAAAGUGAACUCCACUGCUUUGUGCCUCCGUUUCCUUAUCUGAAAAAUGGGGAGAAAGGAAGGGCAGAUGUGUUUGCUCUUUGCCAGGCCCCGCUCUCAGCACUUUGCAUCUAGCAACUCAUGCAAGCCUCCCAACAGCCCUGUGAGGCGGGGUCUGCUAUUACACGCCUCACUUUACAGAUGAGGGAAUGAAGGCACAGAGAGGGCAAGCGACUUGCCUGAGGUUACACAGUGAGUCAGUGAAUCUCGGAGCUGGGCCCAGGCAACCCAAGUCUGUCUCAUUAGCUGCUGUGCCUGACGUCACUGGCUUGCGUGGCAAUGCAGGAUGCUCCCAGCCCGUGGUCAGUGCUGUGGGGUUUGCUUCUGUGGUUAGCACCCCUGUCCUCUUUCUGGAGCCUGCACUGCACCUGCGCCCCCAGUGCCUGCGCUCCGCCUCCUUAUUCCUUCCCGUUUCUAUACCAUAGUGCGGCUGAGGUUGUCUUAAACCAGAAUUUGUUUGAGCCCCUGAGCUUUUUAGGUGCAGCUCCUCGUGCCUCGCAGAGCAGCUGGCAGGAAGUGUGUAUGGCAGCCAGAACUCUCGCCGCAGAUGCAGGCCUUGUUCAUGGAGCGCAGGGCAGCCAAGGCAGGUGAGAGGCCCUCAGUGUGUGUCUAUGCAAGUCCGAACGUGUCAGGGGAGGGCAAAGGGAGAGUAACUGGGAUGAAAAGUCUGGAAACCAUGUCCUAGGAGGAGGCGUUAAAGAACCUGGGAAGG